GACGAACGCUGGCGGCGUGCUUAACACAUGCUAGUCGAACGGAAAGGCCCUGCUUUUGUGGGUUGCUCGAGUGGCGAACGGGUGAGUAACACGUGAGUAACCUGCCCUUGACUUUGGGAUAACUUCAGGAAACUGGGGCUAAUACCGGAUAGGAGCUCCUGCUGCAUGGUGGGGGUUGGAAAGUUUCGGCGGUUGGGGAUGGACUCGCGGCUUAUCAGCUUGUUGGUGGGGUAGUGGCUUACCAAGGCUUUGACGGGUAGCCGGCCUGAGAGGGUGACCGGCCACAUUGGGACUGAGAUACGGCCCAGACUCCUACGGGAGGCAGCAGUGGGGAAUAUUGAACAAUGGGCGGAAGCCUGAUGCAGCAACGCCGCGUGCGGGAUGACGGCCUUCGGGUUGUAACCCGCUUUCGCCUGUGACGAAGCGUGAGUGACGGUAAUGGGUAAAGAAGCACCGGCUAACUACGUG
rnacentral:rRNA from 1 species